CCCCCUCUCUUCAUUGUACGAGAUUUUGCAGUGAACGAAAAACCUGGUAAAUUAUAUCCUUCCUCAUCACCUUCUUUGAGCCAUGUUUCAGUAACUGCGAUAAUAGAUUGAUAUGUAUUAAUGUGAUGUAGAUAUGAGCUAAAAGCAUCAAAAUUUCUUUUCAGGCUACGGCAAUUAAAAUGUAAAAGAAUAUAAAGCGGUAAUCUAUUAAGAUUUGAUAUCAAUUGCUGAAAUUCAUCAAGGGUAUAAUAUUCAUUUUCAACUGAUAAUUCGUCAUGAUUUUCUUCGUCUAAAUGGGUAUUGGUUAUUGGAUUUUUACAUAAAAAACAAUCAGUACUUCCAAUUCCGGAAAUUUGCCUGCCACAAGAACAUGAUAUACUAUUAGACAUAAAUGUAUUAAGUAUUAUUGAUAAAAGACAUUAAAAAAAAAAAACACUUUGAAUAUAAAAAUAUCAAUUACUCAUUAAAACAAAAAAACAAAAAAGACAUGAAAUAGAGCAAGGAUCGCAGUAAUUGCAAGAAUGGAAAACAUUUGAAGCGUCAGCAAGUCUAAAUACUAUAUUAUGAAUAUGAGGGAACACCAACUGUUUUUUUAAUGUUAUUUCAGAUAUAGUUUAAGCAUGCAUGGCUGAUUACUAAAAUCAAAAUUAUCUCCGAACUAAGGAGAAGUGAAUUAAAAAGAACUUAUUUUCAAUAAAACGUAUCGUGAAGGAUACUAGACACAGGGAAUUGAUAAACCUUCUUUUAUACCAAACAACAACUAUUGAAUGGUGAAGAUCGGGCAAGUUCAAUGCCCAUCUUAUUCUCAAUAAACGUUGUCACUUUGAGGUCGUAGCACCCAGAACUAUGUACGAGAAAAUACAAUGAGAUAAGUAGACCUCCUUCUCAUUGGAUAGAAGUUAUUGUUUGGCAACAGAUCUACAGGUAAGUUCAUUGUACAUCAUAUUCUAUAGGUGGUAACACCCAGAAUUGCAUUUGAGAUACAAGAGAUAGAUAAAUCUUCUUUUUAUAUUGAACAAACAAUAUCGUAUCGUGGAGAUUAUGCAAGUUCAUUGCCCACCUUAUUCUAAAGACGUUGUCACUUUGGGGUCAUAGCACCCAGAACUCUGUACGAGAAAAUACAAUGAAAUUAAUAGGCAUUAUUUCAUUGUACAUUAUAUUCUUUUAAUCUGUAGUUGGCAACGCCUAGAAUUGACACGAGAAAUAGAUAAACCUUCUUUUAACAUUAAACAAUCUAUAUUGUAUCGUAAAAGUUCAUUGCCCAUCUUGUACUCAAUAAACAUUGUCAUUUGGGGUCGUCGCAACCAGAACUAUGUACGAAAAAAUAAAACGAGAUAAGUAGGCCUCCUUCUUAUUGGAUAUAAGUUAUUGUUUGAUAUCAGAUCUACAGGUAAGUUCAUUGUUCUUCAUAUUCUAUAGGUGGUAACACCCAGAAUUGUAUUUCAGACACAAGAGAUGGAUAAACCUUCUUUUUAUAUCGAACAAGCACCAAGAAUUCUAUAUGAGAAAAUACAUUGAGAUGAGUAAACUUUCCUCUCAUUGAGUAGGAGUUAUUGUUUGAGAACAAAUCUAUAGGUAACUUCAUUGUACAUCAUAUUCUAUAGGUGAUAACGUCCAGAAUUUUAUUUCAGACACAAGAGAUAGAUUAACCUUCUUUUUAUAUCGAACAAACAAUAUCGUAUCGUGGUGAUUAUGCAAGUUCAUUGCUCAUCUUAUUCUAAAGACAUUGUCACUUUGGGGUCAUAGCACCCAGAACUCUGUACGAGAAAAUACAAUAAGAUGAAUAGGAAUUGUUCUCAUUGGAUAGAAGUUAUUGUUAGAUAACAGAUCUAUAGG